UGAGGGAUAUUGGUCAAUGGGGGGAACCCUGAACCAGCAACGCCGCGUGAGGGAAGACGGUUUUCGGAUUGUAAACCUCUGUCCUCUGUGAAGAUAAUGACGGUAGCAGAGGAGGAAGCUCCGGCUAACUACGUGCC
rnacentral:rRNA from 1 species